UCACUCCAAAACCUAGUUCGACUUCUCCACACAUUCAACGCUUUUCUCUACACAUUCAACCCCAGGCGAUUUUGUUUCCACUUUUCACGGCGGCGGUGAAAUUGAAGCGACCAUUCUUCGACUUUUUUUUUUGAGUAAUAUCCGAUGGAAAAGGUAGAACGUGGUAAAAAGAGGGCGACCAUUUAAGGGCAUUUAGAAACCCACAGAAGGGUCCAAGAGGGCAAGAAUAGUUGACAUUGAUGAUGAUUCUUGGGAUGAUUUCAUUCCCAUAGCAGCCGCUAAACAAUACCGAAACGAGAUGGAAGAGUAGGAAGCGAAGAUGGAGGAAGAUGAUGCAGGGGACGGGGUUCGCCCAAAAAAGAGAGAGAAGAUGUAUUGUAUUUCCGGAGAACAUCAAAGGAAUACGUGGACAUGAUUACAAAGCUAAAUCCCCCGACAGAUUGAAGUUGUCCAUGAGCUCGGGUUUGGAGGUAUUUUGGACUACAAAAUACUAGAGAUACCUAGAGAAAUGACCCAUUGGAUACUUUCUAUAUUCAACAGGGAGCGGUGCAGGAUACAAUUUUUAGAAGAUGAGUUUGUUCGUAUCACAUAGGAUGACGUGCAUAUUACUUUCGGCUUUCCAAAGGGCAAUGGCCUGAUGGACCAAAGAACUAAAUAGAUAGAUUUCGCAU